rnacentral:rRNA from 1 species
UACGUAGGGAGCAAGCGUUGUCCGGAAUCAUUGGGCGUAAAGCGCGCGUAGGCGGCCCUGUAAGUCCGUUGUGAAAGUCAAAGGCUCAACCUUUGAAAGCCGAUGGAUACUGCUGUGACUCGAGUCCGGUAGGGGAGUGUGGAAUUCCCGGUGUAGCGGUGAAAUGCGCAGAUAUCGGGAGGAACACCAGUAGCGAAGGCGGCACUCUGGGCCGGUACUGACGCUGAGGAGCGAAAGCGUGGGGAGCAAACAGG